rnacentral:lncRNA from 10 species
CAUGCUAGCGAGGUCAUAAAAUAAACUUGAACAAAUUUUCAAAGACUGAAAUAAUACAAAGUAUGUUCUCAAGCCACAAUGGAAUGAAAUAAGAAACUGAUAAGAAAGAAAUUGGAAAGCUAACUAAUAUGUGAAAAUUAAACAAUACACUACUAAAUAAUCGAGUCAAAGAAGAAAUCAACAGGGAAAUUGGAAAACAGUUUGAGAAGAAUGGAAAGGAAGACACAAUAUACCAAAACUUAUCAGAUAAAGUAAAGCAAUACCUAGAGAGAAAUUGUGAUGACUAUGGAAAACUUUAAUAACCACUUGAUCAAACUCAAAACUCACAAGAUUGAAAUUCAUUAAAGAAGGAAAACAAAGCCACACAGGACCUAGAUCUUCAGCAUACAAGGAAACAAAAAACACUGCAACUUUCAAAUUACCUCUAAG